rnacentral:rRNA from 1 species
CCUCGAACAAAGAAGGGGAGGGAUAGCAUAUUUGUUGUCGUGGAUAGAUUCUCGAAAAUGGCAAACUUUAUACCAUGUCAUAAAAGCGAUGAUGUUGUUAAUGUUGCUGAUUUGUUCUUUCGUGAAAUUAUUCGCUUGCAUGGUGUGCCAAAUACUAUUGUUUCAGAUCGUGAUACUAAAUUUCUUAGCCACUUUUGGAGAUGUUUAUGGGCUAAGUUGGGGACUAUACUGCUUUUUAGUACUACUUGUCACCCCCAAACUGAUGGCCAAACUGAAGUAGUCAAUAGAACAUUGUCUACUAUGGUUAGGGCUGUUUUGAAGAGUAAUAAGAAAAUGUGGGAGGAAUGCUUGCCUCAUAUUGAAUUUGCUUAUAAUCGUUCAUUGCAUUCUACUACUAAGAUGUGCCCUUUUGAAGUUGUGUAUGGUUUCCUACCUCGUGCACCUAUUGAUUUGUUGCCUCUUCCAUCUUCGGAGAAGGUUAAUUUUGAUGCUAAACAACUGUUACACCCACAG